rnacentral:rRNA from 1 species
CCUACGGGAGGCAGCAGUGAGGAAUAUUGGUCAAUGGGCGCGAGCCUGAACCAGCCAAGUCGUGUGAGGGAAGACGGUCCUCUGGAUUGUAAACCUCUUUUGUCGGGGAGCCAAAGACGCCACGCGUGGCGUUCCGAGAGUACCCGAAGAAAAAGCAUCGGCUAACUCCGCGCCAGCAGCCGCGGUAAUACGGAGAAUGCGAGCGUUAUCCGGAUUUAUUGGGUGUAAAGGGAGCGUAGACGGCUGGGCAAGUCUGACGUGAAAGCCCGUGGCUCAACCGCGGAACUGCUUUGGAAACUGUAUAGCUUGAGGACUGGAGAGGCAGGCGGAAUUCCGAGUGUAGCGGUGAAAUGCGUAGAUAUUAGGAGGAACACCAGUGGCGAAGGCGGCCUGCUGGACAGAAACUGACGUUGAGGCUCGAAAGCGUGGGGAGCAAACAGGAUUAGAUACCCCUGUAGUC